UCGACCUAGUACGCGCUGAUCAGCAAUCACCCAGUGCACUAUCCUACACACUAGGGACAAUUUUACAACUUACCAAUGCCAAUUAACCUACAAACCUGUACGUCUUUGUAAUGUGGAAGGAAAUCGGAGCCA